rnacentral:tRNA from 1 species
AGGGUGGUGCCUGAUUGGUAAUAGGGGUUUUCUGUAAAAAAAUUGAUCUUCGAUCAUUAUUGGUUCAAUUCCAAUCCACCCUA